GUCCCAGGAGCCCGGCUGCCCCGCCCCCUGCAGGGCUAUAAAUACCUGGGACCCUGCACCGGCUGGACACCAGCCCCCAGCGCUUCGGACCGGCCACCCAGACAGACGGACAAGCAGACGGACACACGGACAGGGGCAGCGAGAAGAUGGGGCCAGUCGCCUUCGUCACCCUCUGCCUCCUCGGCUGCCUGGUCUGCAGCCCCGCGCUGGCAGG